rnacentral:rRNA from 1 species
CCGGCUAACUACGUGCCAGCAGCCGCGGUAAUACGUAGGGUGCAAGCGUUAAUCGGAAUUACUGGGCGUAAAGCGUGCGCAGGCGGUUUGCUAAGACCGAUGUGAAAUCCCCGGGCUCAACCUGGGAACUGCAUUGGUGACUGGCAGGCUAGAGUAUGGCAGAGGGGGGUAGAAUUCCACGUGUAGCAGUGAAAUGCGUAGAGAUGUGGAGGAAUACCGAUGGCGAAGGCAGCCCCCUGGGCCAAUACUGACGCUCAUGCACGAAAGCGUGGGGAGCAAACAGGAUUAGAUACCCUGGUAGUCCACGCCCUAAACGAUGUCAACUAGUUGUUGGGGAUUCAUUUCCUUAGUAACGUAGCUAACGCGUGAAGUUGACCGCCUGGGGGAGUACGGUCGCAAGAUUAAAACUCAAAGGAAUUGACGGGGACCCGCACAAGCGGUGGAUGAUGUGGAUUAAUUCGAUGCAACGCGAAAAACCUUACCUACCCUUGACAUGGUCGGAAUCCUGCUGAGAGGUGGGAGUGCUCGAAAGAGAACCGGCGCACAGGUGCUGCAUGGCUGUCG